CCUUCAUCCCCUCAGCCCCUCAGCCCCUCAGCCCCUCGGGUGCGGAGGAGCCGGUGAAGGCACGGGCUGGAGCUGGAUCCGUUCAGAGGCGUGAAACAACGUGGGAAGGAGGAGCGGGGAAACUAACGGGAAAAGUAAAAUUCCAAGUCAAGAUACUGAGAUCUAGAGAGCACAGAAACAAGAUGUUGGGCAGAUAACAAAGAGCACAGAAACAAGAUGUUGGGCAGAUAACAAGGGCCAAAACAACAUAAAGCUGCACUACUUAUAGAGAGCAGUCAGUGUGCAGUGCUGCACUCUCUUACUAGGGCAGUCCAGGCAUUUUAGGAACAUCACAGGGGUUUCCUCCACAUCCCUCUCACAUCAUCAAGCACACAGAGAAGGGCAAGGGAGGCUGAGGUUUCCUCUUCAUGGUAAUGAAAUGCAGCCCACAUAUCCCAACGCUGGCAAGAGAAGAGGAGAACAAGUCAGAAGUUAAGGAAGUAGAGAAGUCAGACCAAGUACAAGAGUCAGAACAGAGGAGCAGGAAAAUAAAGCAGUGGACUGUGUGCCUGAAAAGAGGAGACAGAGCUUGCAGCCUGUGAAAGGACUAGCAAAAUAAAAGGAGUUUCAGUUUAGAACAAAAACAAAAUCCUAUCAUACAGACUUUAACUUCUUCUUUGAAAUAAACACACUGUAACAAUGUUACUCAAAUAAAACUGGAUAAAACAAUGUA